rnacentral:lncRNA from 1 species
GCUAGACGAGCGGCCGCGCAGAGGCCGGGCCCGCGCCGUCCCCGCGCUCGCCCGCCCGUCCGCCCGUCCGCCCACCCGGCGGCUCCCAUUGUGCCCCAGGCCCGCGCCGCUCCGCCGUCCUGUGACCGCCUGCGCCCCGCAGCGCGCCCGACGGCCGGCCGCUGGAAGUUCGGGCCCGCGGCGCACGCCCUGCCGCCCCGGGAUGCACGUGAACUUGGAGAAAGUCUCGGGGCGCGCCGGCGCAGACCUCCGCGGCAGGGCGUGGGCGCCCCUGGCCCCGCGCGCUUUCGUUUUCGUCUGGGACAAAGGUCCCUCGCGGCGCAGGUCGCGGACGUGGAGGCAGUGCCCUGCGGGCCACUCAGCGGGGAGGUCCGGUCGUUCAGUCAAGGGAAGCCGGAGCCUGGAGAAGACGAGCCGCGCGGUCGGAGGCGCGGUGCGGGACCAGGACAGUGGGGCCUGGCCGUGCGCUUCGCCCUGGCGGUCCAGGAGCUGUCUCGCCCUCCGAAGAGUUACGGGAGGUGGCACUGCUUUUGCUCUCUGCCCUUUCGACACGUGAAGGAGAGAAUCAUUCGGAACCCAGGACUCAGACCGGUGGCCGAGGGCCUGUGCAGCCGCGAGCACGACAGCGCAGCGCUGGCCGCGUCCGCGCGCGUUCCUCCGACAAGGGCAGAGCAGUCGACCAGCGCGCCCCAGUCUCGAUCGGGUUCAAGGCGACUCUUGAGGACGGUGGCUGACACACGGGCCCAGCCGGCAGCCCUGGGGAAUUUGUGGGGAGCAAGAAAGGGGUGAAGGAAUGCACGUUUGCCGUAAUUACAGGGUUUUAAGGUGUGGGGCUUUGAAAGUACAAUCCUGCAUGGCCUUACUGUGAAUGGAUGGGCACUUUGUCUCGGUCCGGAUGCAGGAGUCCUGCCUUUAGAGGCAGCUCAGAAGCCCUGUGGAUGGAUCGUACGAGCGCCCCGGCCCAGCCCACUUGCAGCCAGUGGUAGGAGGCUUGCCGAGCAGAGAUGUGACCGGCCGAGACUGCGGUUAUUAUCGCCAAAUGAGACUGGUAGUUGUGGUUAGAAAUGGUGUGCCCGGGACACACAGAGUAAAGCCCAAUUUUUCUCUUUCUUUUUUGGGAGUAAUAGAAUUUUCCCUUGAGAUUAAAGGAAGGAGGCUGUCCCGAGGCCUUUGGUUUCCAGCGCCGGGGCUGGGUUUUCCUGUGAAUCACCGUUCCUUGAUUCUGAGAUUUCGGAGGGUACGAAGAAGAGCAGCUAGCUGAAAGAUUUACCUGCUGAUUUGGGCUUCUUAAAUCUAGAUUCGCCUUUUAUGUGUUUAAGAGCGAUAUUUACAUUCAAAUCAGCCUUUUAUAAUUGCAUUUUAAAUUAUAAUGAAAUGAUGGAGCCGGGGCUGCGGUCUUCCCUAGGUUUUUACAGUACGAGCCACUCUGCUGGGCUGCAUGUCACAUUC